GUGAGGAAUUUUCCGCAAUGGACGCAAGUCUGACGGAGCAACGCCGCGUGCAGGAAGAAGGUCUUCGGAUUGUAAACUGCUUUUCCCAGGGAAGAGUAAGGACGGUACCUGGGGAAUCAGCCCCGGCUAACUACGUGCCAGCAGCCGCGGUAAGACGUAGGGGGCGAGCGUUCUCCGGAAUUACUGGGCGUAAAGCGCACGCAGGCGGUCUGUUAAGUUCAGGGUGACAGUCACCAGCUUAACUGGUGAAGGAUUUUGAAAACUGGCAGACUUGAGAGCGAGAGAGGAACCUGGAACUCCGGGUGGAGCAGUGAAAUGCGUAGAGAUCCGGAAGAACACCAAAGGCGAAGGCAGGGUUCUGGCUCGUUUCUGACGCUAAGGUGCGAAAGCCAGGGGAGCGAACGGGAUUAGAAACCCCAGUAGUCC
rnacentral:rRNA from 1 species